UUCGUCGAGAACGAACGGAGCGUAGAAAAUAUCGCGUUGCCGGCGUAAUAACCCUGCUGUCGAGUAGAUUGCAGUUUUCGAUUACGCGGGACCGAUACUCGUAGAUAAUCGAACCAUCGCGUCCCUUGCUACCUGAACCGAACACACACGUAAUAUUCAUCGACAUACAUACCUCCAUUGUUCCAUAGGGAUUUUCAGGUCUCGUAGAAAGAAUCGGCAUUGACCUCGAUGGCGACAGAGCCGAACGAACGAGUCGCCAGCGGAUAAUUGGCAGCUGCGUUAUUAACACUUUGAUGGCUGGUGUCACGUGUUCGUGACAUUGACAUGUGACUUUUCACAGCCAGCAUUCUGUGCUACGCGAUGGAUACUAAUUUGGAAAUCAGUGAUUUGGGUAUAUUUAGUACAGGGGUGUGGGUGACCGAUAAUUGGGUCGAUUCCGCAUUGUUCGGCUCGGAUCGGGACAACUUUGCAGCGGCCUUUUUCCAGAGUUACAAUCAAGGUUUUCGAUCAGCAACUUGACAAUGCGAGCUUAUAUCAUAGGGAAUCUGGAACGACAGCUUCGAUCAAAGUGAUUUUUCUAAGUGCAACGUUUCUCACUGUACUUGUCGCUGAUUCCCUCGAGUUGUUACGCAAACGCGAAUCGAUAGGAUGCAUUAACUCGAGCUCGAGAGAAAUGAAAUUGUAAUGGCGAGGCAUUGCGUGCGACCUACUUCCUCCGACGUUUAUUGAAUGGUGGUAUCGUUAUUCUUUUUUCUUCCCCCUGUUGUUCAACGCGAGAAGUAUAUUUUCGAUUACGGUGGAACGAAGUUUGAAAGGUAUUUAGAGCACGGUUCCUAUGAAAGCGAUGCUUCCCUCCAUUUUUUCUCGGUCACAGAAUGGAAACCGAUACAAACAAAUUAUACUUCCUCGGUUGUCCGGUCAGUUUGUUGGAAACUUCCAAGAGAAAUAAAGAAAUCGAUUGGUAAAACAAUACGAUUCUUAAUACGAGGACUCUAAUGGAACGUUUCACUUGUGCACAUUCAUGCAUAUUAUCCUUAUUCAUUUCAUUUAGAAAAUUUUCCAAAAAUUAUUACAAGAUCAAUACCAAGGAAAUAUUCUUGGCUUAAUAAAGCUAUCGUAAGAAAAGUAUUAGAAAUGAAUGGUUAUGUAUGUACACUUAUAAUUAAAUCAGACUGCCAGGAUUUUAUUGCGAUUGUACAAGACUCCAUUUUUCCAGAGCUAAGUCCAUCGCUCUGAAGUAAUUAAAUCUCGAGAAUUGCAUUUACAUAUGUUAGAUCAUAACAGUGAAGCCACGUCGUAAACAAUUUCUAAUGAUUUGUCAGAGAAGAAAAACAAGUCAUUAAAGUCCGACGUUGUUAAUAGAAUUUGUUGAUAAAUUCGUCCUUGGUUUGUGGUGUCAGAAUUCGUGAUCAAUUGCGCAUCGAGUUAUUCCAUUUUGAUUGGAGCUAUACCAAGAAAAUUUCUCUUCCUACUGUAACAAACGACCUCUACUAGAAGGCGACCAGUUAAACCCGUGAAUCUUUUCUUCCACCCCCGUAUCUAAAAUCGACCCAAGCAGACAGACAGACUGGCGCCCUACUUCCAAUCGAAACGAUCAGACUACGCUCUCCUAAUCGAUCUUCAUUCCGUAGCAAUUAACGGGGAAAUUAGGAUUAAUUACGGGCCAUUAACGGGACCAGGCAAAGUUAUCUUUCGACAAUGACGCAUUAACUUUUCGUCUCGGAAAUGUAUAUUUUUACUGGUGUACAACGAGUCGUGUGUUUGCGUUGCAAGGAGAGAAAUGGAGGACUUGGAGAAUAUCGAUUAACUCGGUAUUUAUGUCACAAGCUUGUGACAGUUGACAGUGCCACGCUCCGGUUAAAAUAACGAUGCGAAUAAAGAAAACUGAUUUCCUGGGCCUUCUUGCAUAAUUCGACUGACGUUAUUAGCGAAAUUUCACGAUUCACCGGUACUAACGUAUUUUUAAUUAGACAAGUAAAGUUCUACAAGUAGAUUUUCAUCAAAACUACCCUUAUAUUGUUGGAUAACACAACCACUUUAUCUCAAAAUAUUGGCAUAUUUCCAAACUUUCAUUAGGAAAUUAUAUAGUAAUAGAAGAAAUAUUUUGUCUUAGGUUAUCGUUGUACUUUAAAAAUACAAAUAUCUAAAAUUUAUGUUUUGCAAGCACAUGUACCUUGUUUCUAGUUGGAAUGAUACAGCGUUCUGUGGUACAAUUAUAGAAAUAAUUUAUUUAAACGAGCUUAAGAAAACAUGUGUAAAAAACUAGUGUUUUCUGUUCGCCUUUCUUACACAACAGUUAUGUAAGACGUAGACGACAAUGAAUCGUGUUAGCGGGACGUUAAAACGUAAGAAUUCCUUGCGUCGCCAUGAACCCGCCCGUCAUUUCGCUCUACUUUCCCUGAAAAUUCGUUUUCGUGCCACUUGGCAAUUCGCCGGGUUCACCUCGUGAUUUGCACGAUCCCCGGCCUUUAGCUCGACUUCCGACUCGACGAAAACAAUGCACUCGUUUUACUUCCCUUUUUUUUUCUUUUUUCUUUUCGGACCACGUCGACCGCACGGUCAAAAAUGUUAGUGGAGCUGAAAACCUACACCAAACGACGAGGUUUCCAAUAGAGCGACUCGUUGCUCUAGGAUAUCAAUUCACGUUUCGCUAGAUCAUGCGAGUUGAGAAAUAUCGGACAUCGAUAGGGAAAAAAGCUUAAUUUUGUUUACUAUUCGAAUUAUAACGCUAUAUGUGUGAACUCUUUUGCUACGAGUGGUGAACCGAUCACUCCCUUAUUAUUUGAAGAUUCUAAGAUUCAAAAAGUAAAAAAUAUUGAAAUUUUAAUAUUCUAAUAUUCCAAAGUUUUAGGUGCUAAAAUUCUGUGAACCUGGCCCACCCCCAAAAAGGUCUUAGUUACGCCCGUGUGCGAUGGGUAUAUGCAGUAAUUGAAAUUUUAAUUUGGUUUCCCGUGAGAAAUUAUCCAGGAAAAUUGCCUCGGAACCAAUGAAAUUGUAACCAUCAUCCAACAAUAACUCUUCCAUACACAAUGAACAAUUUACGUCGCAGCCAAAAAAGGGUAAUUACACAAUAAAAAAGAGACGAACAUAAAUUCGUAAUUUUCUAAUCAACAAUCAUAUCAAGACACCCUAGUUACAUCAAACUACCCUUGUUGCAUCAUUCCAGUCACCGUAAUGAUUACUUUAAUUGAAACGGUAAUUUCAACGUGCAACGUCAGCCUUAUACUCUUUACAAACGAACAAAUUUCAAUAGUAGACGUACACAGGUACGUUGCAUAAUUAGAGAGUGAGCAUGAACAAUAGACAAGUGCCUACGAAUAGUCGAAAACUAGAACGAAGCUGAACAACUGGUCCAACGUCGGAUGCACACUAAAGCGCGACACAUUCGGUUGCCUGGUUUGAAAGGAAAGCCUGACUCCAGAAAGGAGAGACGUAAAUCGAUCUAUCCCAGCAGCCUCGUCUUAGAUAUGAACAUCUUUGGACGACAAAAAAAUUCUCGUGUGCAGCUCGGUUAAUCGAUCGGUAAAAAGGAUACGAACAAGAUAUCGAGUAACGAGGAUAUCAAAUGUUCCAUACGUGGUGGUUAGAUUGGCUUCUAGCGACGAUCGAUCGAAUGGAGAAUUCACCAUUUUCUUUUCUUUGCUGAAACUUACCCCCUCGAUUAAUACACCAAACUUCUCUUUUCAUCAUUAACUUUUCAUUUUUCUUUUUUAGUGGUCUAUAAUUUUUUAUUCAAAUAAGAGUUUAACCCUUUUCUGAUUGAAUGAACUCUAAAAUAGCUUAGGGGUGGAUCGUUAAAAAAUAUUAAAAAUAUUUUCUUUUUCUUUUAUAGAAAUUUUCCAAACAUUUUUUUGUGAUUUUAACAUCUGUUAAAUAAAAAUUCAAAGAUCAUUGAGCAAUAGCUUUCUUAAUGGCUUUGAAAAUGAAAAAUUAACUAAUUUCAUGCAACGUACAAAUGUUGAACCGUACAGAAAGAUAAUCGUACAAAUUCAACUCGCGUACCGCUUUAAUGGAUCCGCUAUCUGUCGUAGACACUCCACUUUCGAGUACGCGUGAACGUUUAUCUUGCUCCAAAUUUAAAUCAACUUUUCGUUUAAAUUAACUUCAGAAGCCUCUGUUGCGCUCCAAGCUGCGAUUAAAAUUUGCAGGGAGCUUAAAACGUGAAUCCAGCUUUCUCCGUGAAAGCUGGAAAAGUUUUCAGCGUAUUUUCGUUACAAGAUUAUUAGUGCGCGAAUUAAAUCCCACCUCUUCACAGUCAUCGUGUCUAUUCAGUACUUUUUUACCACGAUUUUGUUUUCCAUUUUUUUUUUCGACUGGUAGAUAAACAGCUUCAAAACGCAAGUAUUUGGUAACAGAAAACACUUUUGAAACCGAAGUAAAAUGAUAUCUGUAAAUAACUCGGGAUUUUGAUUUGUAAAGGAUCUUUAUAGUUUUGAAAAUCCAUUUUUAUGUUAUAGAACUUUGUAACGUUCAAAUGAUUAAAUUACGAGUAUACAAAACAUCUCAACUAAUUAAUAUUACGUUAGCAAAUACGUUAAACGAGAGAUUUACCAAAGUUAUAUGGAAAGUUAAAAAUAUGUGUUAUUAAUUCAUCGAAUGUUAGCAAAAAAUCAUGGCAUUUACAUAGGUGUAAGGUUACUUACGAUCUAUGCAUGACUUUUCAAAAUGAUUUAUACCUAAUGAAAUUAUCAAGAUUUUACUAAAUUAAACAUAAUGAAACUAGCAGAAAGCUGCACAAUAUUAUAAGCGUGAAACUUAUUAGAAAAUACGAACUGAACAUGAAGGGACAGAACAUGUUAACAGCAUGCUUUAUCGUUGCUGUUUUCAUCGACGAAUACGGACACAACCGGACUUAACUUGAACCGGAAAUGAUAGUGCGACGUGCUAAAGAUACGGGAAACCACAUACAGAUAGAUUUGUUGUGCUUGGAAAUUCAAUGAACGAUAUGUUCGAACCACUACAAGUAGGUACCGUUCUAUCUUCAACUAGCAAAGAAAAUCAAUCAACUAUCGACUCGAAUGCUAUAUUAUUGCAAUAAAUCAUGAACAACCAUUAGAAUAAAAUGGUUUGUUCAUCGUAAGUUAUUCAAAAAAUAAGUUUUACUACUGUCGAAAAUGAAUGAUAUUAUUUUCUUAGGACAAAGUACACUACAAUAAUUCUUCCUGUUUACAAGAAAUAUAAUAUUGUAGAAAAUAAGAUAGCUAUAUUUCCGAGGAUAAUAUACAAAAUGAGGAAAAUUGUGGAUGAAAAAUGAAAUUCUAUCUGCUUUAUAUUUCAUACGAUAAUAUGAUGAGAGAUUACGUAGAUGGAGUUGCUUUUAUUCAGAUUAAAAACACGACGAGUACUUUGACAAAACGCAGAAUCUAAUUUUCUGUUUAUAUAGCAUAAAGUAUACUUUAUUACGGUAGAAAAACGCAAAGUAAUGGGACGAGCAGCGUAAAAAGUGUACGAGAAUGCAAUUUAUUUUUAUGGGAAUUCAACGUAGGUAGAAAAGAGUCAAUUAGAACAAGGUGAAGUACCUUGAACCUCUCUCAAAGUUUCAGCUGCUUUACGGUCAGUAAUCGAUAGCAAUAAAUAGCCAAUUAAUCUUAUCGAUGGUUUGGUUUCUUAUCGGAAAUUUCUUUGCUGCAAUUGUUUGCAUGUUUCAAAGGAUCGUAACCCUUGAAACUUUAUAUGAAAAAAUUUUUGAAAAGUUCAUUUAUAUUCUAAGGUAUUUUCUGUAACUAUCAGGUGCACCAAUUAAUUCGAUGCCUUUUCUUUCUUUUCAAUUGAAGAUUUAUUUUUAAAACGUUAUCAUUUUAAUUCUAGCGCUAACUUUCGAGUCCACAGAAGCGCGGGAAAAUAUUCAAAUUUAAAAUCAUGAUUAAGAAGACGUAUUGCUGACGACACCAAAUUAAUUGCUACACCUAAUGUUUGUAUAAUAACCUUACGAUAGACGUUAUCACAGAAAUGCGGUCACGAUACUAAGGUGAACAAUGUUUCUAUCGUUUAUACGAAAUGCUCUAUCAGUGUCAAUAAGAGAAUACACGGUAUAUCUACUCUUUAUCUGUUUAUCGUUAGAUAUACAAACCCAAGAAGUCGUUUCCACGGUUCGAAUGAAGAUGUAUGACUUAAAUAUACGUCAGCAACUUUUCAGGUGAAAGAACUUUCCUCGCGAUUAAAAUGGUGGUUACAUUAAACCACAUUGGUCCCACUCGGAAUUUUCCUUUUAAUAUUCUAAAGGCAACGUGGAAUUUUCAAGUACUUCCUGAAGUUUUUAUACUCUCUUACAUCGGUGCAAUCAGUGAAGAAGCUGUUUUGCGAGCACGCCCGUGACAAAGUUCUCUGAAUGGUGUAUCGAUUUUGAAGUAAAGUCAACCCGGCGCCAUCCAACCGUGGUCAUAAAUCUCAAGCUGAAAUUUAAUGAAAUAGUUUCCCUCUCACUGUGAAAGAAAAAAAUUGUCCGCGUUUUAAUAACAAGAAGAUCGUUUCGUCUUUUCCUCGGCAAACCGCUCCGCGGCGCGGCGUCGCGUCGCGCCGUUUCAAUUGAAUCACCGUAAAGCAGGAUACAACAGAACAAACAGCAAGGUGACAAAUGAAAUUAAUUAACUUCGAGCGACGAGAUCGUGGGAAAGGAUAUUUUAUUCAAAACUGGGUGCACAAGCAUUGCUGCACGGACGAAAGCGAAGAAGAAAAGAAAGGUAAAAGAAGGAUAUUAUCGGAAAAGCAAUUUACGCAGCGUUAGCUUUCUGAAUAACAAAGUAAGGGGGAAGAGAUGUUGAACAAAAGGACCCAGGAAUACACCGGGGAAUCCAAUGAAGAAAGUAACUAUUUUACGAGGUCAGUGGAUGGUAUUUUCACUGAUAUUUCUGUAAAGGGGAGCGAUUCCUUUAUCUACCUCGAACUUGCAGAAGCGUCAGCACACGGAGAAUAGGUCAGUCGAAGUUCCUGACAUUUUCUCCUGGUAAACUGAAUUGGGUCGUCUCGUAAAUCUUGAGAAAUACAGGUCAAAGUAAAGUCUUAAGGCAUUAGCUAGGAAAAAGGGGUACAAGCUGCGUCGUCGAAGCACCGCCAAGACAAUUAACAGGAUCAUUGUUAAUCAUCUAGAGAACUAUAUAUAUAUAUAAAAGUCUUUAUCUACCCACUUGAAGAAACAUAAAUUUUCUCACAAGAAAAAAGAAAAAAA